ACUGCUGAGCCAUCUCUCCAGCCCUAGAAUGCAACUUUAAGUCUAAACUCUAGGGCUGGAGAGAUGGCUCAGCCGU
rnacentral:pre_miRNA from 1 species